rnacentral:lncRNA from 1 species
CCCUUUCUCUUCUUCUUUUUUACGAUAAGACUUUAGGGUCUUAUCAUUUGGUAUCAUAGCAACGAUAAGACCUUUAGGUUCUUAUCAUUUGGUAUCAGAGCGGCGAUCCUUGGUGUUCUCGUUGCAACGUAACAAAAAAAAUAAAACAAAAACAAAAAAAAAAGGGAGAAAAGGGUUGUUACCCGGCGACCACCGAGAAUUCCCUGCUUCCCUU